rnacentral:rRNA from 1 species
AUUGAACGCUGGCGGCAGGCCUAACACAUGCAAGUCGAGCGGAUGAGUGGAGCUUGCUCCAUGAUUCAGCGGCGGACGGGUGAGUAAUGCCUAGGAAUCUGCCUGGUAGUGGGGGACAACGUUUCGAAAGGAACGCUAAUACCGCAUACGUCCUACGGGAGAAAGCAGGGGACCUUCGGGCCGUUGCGCUAUCAGAUGAGCCUAGGUCGGAUUAGCUAGUAGGUGAGGUAAUGGCUCACCUAGGCGACGAUCCGUAACUGGUCUGAGAGGAUGAUCAGUCACACUGGAACUGAGACACGGUCCAGACUCCUACGGAGGCAGCAGUGGGGAAUAUUGGG